CUUCGUUCUUUUGACCCUGUAUGCGGGCUUGUUAGUCGAAACGACUAACACCAACUUUGAAUUGAAAUAACAAACAUGAAAAACACAUUUUUUGAUUU